rnacentral:rRNA from 1 species
UACAGAGGUCUCGAGCGUUAUGCGGAAUCACUGGGCUUAAAGCGUGUGUAGGCGGAUCGGUAAGUCGGGUGUGAAAUCUCGGAGCUUAACUCCGAAACUGCAUUCGAUACUGCCGUGCUUGAGGACUGGAGAGGAGACUGGAAUUUACGGUGUAGCGGUGAAAUGCGUAGAUAUCGUAAGGAAGACCAGUGGCGAAGGCGGGUCUCUGGACAGUUCCUGACGCUGAGGCACGAAGGCCAGGGGAGCAAACGGG